rnacentral:lncRNA from 1 species
UGCAGUAGGUUUACUAUGAUUGUCUUUUACCAGGGAGCACGGGCGCUGUUCUGAAGGCUUCCAGGACUCGGGCAGCAUUAUGGCUUUUAGGUAAAGUGACAUCCAUCUUUUACUGAUCUUGAUAUCUGAACCAACAAACAGAGGACUUUAAUCUUGGUGUAGGAAUUGAACUUGUUUUUGAAAAUACCAACUAUUACCAAACAACCUCAGCAUGGGUGUAACAGCGCGCUGUGAGUUUCGCUACAAACGGCUGCGAUGGUACAUUUUCCCUAGAGGAACAGUUCUGCAGGGACAGCAGGUGCCUGGUGGUCACCUGGGGGUCAGGCUAUAAGGACCUUCUUUGGCACUGGACUUUUCUCUCGCUUGGCUGACACUUCCUCGCCCCUGAUACUGGUCUGUGGAAUGCGGGCCCUCUGGGGCACCGGGGUUCCUCCACCCUCAGGGUUACUGCAGGACCCCGUUGCCCGCAGCUCAUCUCUUCCAGAGCACGCUGGGUCUCCUGGCGUCAGAAGGUGGCUCCCUCCGGGCUGGCGCGGGCUCCAGACCAACGCUCAGCGGCUCCCAGGCCAUCCUGCCUGCUCAGACAGGCCUCUUGAAGGAAGAAACCAGCUGGGCAUUUUUGUGCAUGCAGGACCUGCCUCCGCAAUGAUCUUAAGAUGUCACUGUAGCGUUUACAUCUUUUAUUUCAAGAUUUAAAUAACUAGGAAGUAGCUAAUGUAAUUCACUGCUGAGAAGAAAGACGGGCUUCUUGAAUCCUUUCCAAAGCCAUCUCCUCCUAAUGAACUUCUUUGGACUGUGAGUAAUGAGGCUUUAUUCAAAUAAUGUUUAAGGAAGGCUCUGUCCCUGUAAUUUCUAAAAAAAAGGACCG